GGUCCAUUAUUCUAUCUAAUCCUAUACUAUUGUUGCAGCAUACGUUACCCGUCCAUUCAAGUGCAGUUGGGAAAGGAAGAGGCGGAGACAGCAGAUCGAUUUCCAGUUUGACCUAGGUUCUUCUGUAAACAGAAACAGAAUCAACAAACAAAGUAAACAUUCUACUGCGCCAAGGGGAGAAAUCAAUAGCUAUGUUUCUUGUGGAAAUAUACAGAACACAGCUUUUCAGCAUCUUCUGAACCAAGGUAAUUUAGAAUCUUUAAUUUUCAUCUUAAUUAGAAAAUUAAUAUUAUAUUUUUCCAAUUGCCCUCACACUAUGGG
rnacentral:lncRNA from 11 species